GUAGCAAUCAAACACUUGGUCAUCAUGGUCUCUGAUUAUGCCCCCUCGUUCUACUGUGAUCGAAACAGGGUUAACAGAUCUUUAAGUCAGAUGGAAGUUAAUGUAGAAAAUAAAUGUGGAAUUACAUUAUGUUAAGUGCCUUAAUUUUCUUUUAAGUUUGUAGAGCUCUUGUGAACUCAGAGUAAGCCAUUAGUUAAAUUGCCAAAAUAGGUUAAGAUUCAAUAUAAAAAAAUAAAUGACUUUGGAAAACUAUUCAGAACUUCUUGACGCUUUUUGGGAUAAGUGAGAAAAGAUGUAGUAGGGCUAAUACAAAGAUGGGUUAUGUGUGGCAGGAGUAGUAGGGCCAAUACAUAGAUGGGUCGUGAGAGGCGGGAGUAGUAGGGCUAAUACAUAGAUGGGACGUGAGAGGCGGGAGUAGUAGGGCUAAUACAUAGAUGGGUCGUGAGAGGCGGGAGUAGUAGGGCUAAUACAUAGAUGGGUCGUGAGAGGCAGGAGUAGUAGGGCUAAUAAAUAGAUGGGUCAUGAGAGGCAGGAGUAGUAAGGCUAAUACACAGAUGGGUCGUGAGAGGCAGGAUUAGUAGGGCUAAUACAUAGAUGGGUUGUGAGAGGCAGGAGUAGUAAGGCUAAUACAUAGAUGGGUCGUGAGAAGCAGGAGUAGUAGCGCUAAUACAUAGAUGGGUCGUGAGAGGCAGGAGUAGUAGGGCUAAUACAUAGAUGGGUCAUGAGAGGCAGGAGUAGUAGCGCUAAUACAUAGAUGGGUCGUGAGAAGCAGGAGUAGUAGGGCUAAUAGAUAGAUGGGUCGUGAGAGGCAGGAGUAGUAGGGCUAAUACAUAGAUGGGUCAUGAGAGGCAGGAGUAGUAGGGCUAAUACAUAGAUGGGUCUUGAGAGGCAGGAGUAGUAGGGCUAAUAAAUAGAUGGGUCUUGAGAGGCAGGAGUAGUAGGGCUAAUACAUAGAUGGGUCAUGAGAGGCGGGAGUAGUAGGGCUAAUACAUAGAUGGGUCUUGAGAGGCAGGAGUAGUAGGGCUAAUAGAUAGAUGGGUCGGGAGAGGCAGGAGUAGUAGGGCUAAUACAUAGAUGGGUCUUGAGAGGCAGGAGUAGUAGGGCUAAUAGAUAGAUGGGUCUUGAGAGGCAUUGUGAAAUGCAGAAUAAUUUAGACAUCAUUUCGAUAACAGACAUGGCAGUUGAAAUGUG